GUAGUACUGGGGCGAGGAGGAGGAACUUCCAAUGGCUUCUGCUUUAAAUUGGUGAUUAGCCAAUUAAUCCUCACAGAACCCGGAGGGAUUCAAGUGUUAUUGAAAUCUGCAAAGUGUUUUUGAAGAUAUCAAAGAAAAUUCAAGUGCAGCAUCCUCAACGAGUGAUGGGGUCUGUUUUGGACAUGUUUCUACACCAAGAC